CCCUUGGGGUGCUGCAGUGGAUCAUGGAGUCACAGCUCAAGAAGCGUGUAGACCUGGAGCUGCACCUUGGAGGCAGGGAGCAGGCAGCGAUCCGCCGAGAUGCCCUGUGCCAGCUCGUCCUGGAUGAGCACCUACAGCACCAGCAGGAGCUGCGCCAGCAGGGGAAAGCCUUCUAUGUGGAGCGGCUCUGAGUGCUCAGCCCAGUGUGUGGCACUGGCCUGGCAUCACCCAGCUCCUGACUGAGAAUAAAACAUGUUGAGCAAGA